rnacentral:rRNA from 1 species
GUAAAUGAUUGUAUACUUUGCGCGCCCGAUCUCGUCUGAUCUCGGAAGCUAAGCAGGGUCGGGCCUGGUUAGUACUUGGAUGGGAGACCGCCUGGGAAUACCAGGUGCCGUAAGCU